rnacentral:rRNA from 1 species
GUGCCAGCCGCCGCGGUAAUACAUAGGGGGCGAGCGUUAUCCGGAUUUAUUGGGUGUAAAGGGUGCGUAGACGGGAAAGCAAGUUAGUUGUGAAAUCCCUCGGCUUAACUGAGGAACUGCAACUAAAACUAUUUUUCUUGAGUGCAGGAGAGGAAAGUGGAAUUCCUAGUGUAGCGGUGAAAUGCGUAGAUAUUAGGAGGAACACCAGUGGCGAAGGCGACUUUCUGGACUGUAACUGACGUUGAGGCACGAAAGUGUGGGGAGCAAACAGGAUUAGAUACCCUGGUAGUCCACACUGUAAACGAUGGAUACAAGGUGUAGGAAAUAUUAAGUUUUCUGUGCCGACGCAAACGCAGUAAGUAUCCCACCUGGGGAGUACGACCGCAAGGUUGAA